GAUCAUGGCUCAGGAUGAACGCUAGCUACAGGCUUAACACAUGCAAGUCGAGGGGAAACGACAUCGAAAGCUUGCUUUUGAUGGGCGUCGACCGGCGCACGGGUGAGUAACGCGUAUCCAACCUGCCCACCACUUGGGGAUAACCUUGCGAAAGUAAGACUAAUACCCAAUGAUAUCUCUAGAAGACAUCUGAAAGAGAUUAAAGAUUUAUCGGUGAUGGAUGGGGAUGCGUCUGAUUAGCUUGUUGGCGGGGUAACGGCCCACCAAGGCGACGAUCAGUAGGGGUUCUGAGGGGAAGGUCCCCCACAUUGGAACUGAGACACGGUCCAAACUCCUACGGGAGGCAGCAGUGAGGAAUAUUGGUCAAUGGGCGAGAGCCUGAACCAGCCAAGUAGCGUGCAGGAUGACGGCCCUAUGGGGUUGUAAACUGCUUUUAUAAGGGAAUAAAGUUAGUCUCGUGAGACUUUUUGCAUGUACCUUAUGAAUAAGGACCGGCUAAUUCCGUG
rnacentral:rRNA from 1 species